CAGGAAAUCAAUUUAGAUCUGGUGCAGUUCCCAAAGCCUGUGUUCAUCAGUGAAGUAAGGAUUAUACCACUCGGAGCACGUGUACAAGCAGAUUUCCCAGGUGGUGUAAGAUUGGGGUGUUUCUGAUAUGGACGCUAUACACCGUCUGAUUCUACUGCUCAUUGAUGUACCGAACUGCAGGACCAAUAGAAGAUAACUCCAUUUGGAAGUAAACAUCUGUUAGCCAAUGUAUCUUGGUGGUGCCGUGUUGAUGAUGAAAAUCGCCAAUGGAAAAAGUUAAGCACCUGUGCGGAACCUUUCCUCACAGGUGAUCCAGUAAUCAUCUGUUAGUGAAGUGCAAAUAGUGAAGUGUUUGAAGUGCAGUUCGUGAAGAAAGUGUCAGCCACCUUGAAGUGUAAGUGUAGCCGCGGAAAUUUUUCUGUGUUGCAGACGUCAGAUAUUCAGCAGGCGAAUCAUAGUGAAAAACUGGAUUAUGUGUAAAGAUAGAGAGCUUAAUUUUAGACUUUGAAAACCUAUUUCGAUUCCGAAUACGUCAGAUUGGAGUUCUCAAAUGCCCGACGCCAUAAACAGGAACGAAUCCCCGCAGUCAUAAACUGGGGUGAUUUCGAAGUACCCAGGUCAUCCUAUUUCUUGGGAUCAAAUGGUGGUGGUGUAUGCUGCGUAAAAUGCAUCUUUCAUUGUCAGCAAGGAGCUAUUAGAAAAUCUGUGGCAGUUUUGUGGGGUCAUAUUUGGCAGUACAUUAUUACAUACCACUGUCAGAGUAUAUUCGUUUAAUAAGUGCUUGUGAUGCUUGGGUAUUUUGGUAAGAAAGAAAAGUAUAUCUGUGAAACUCUUGUGGUUCAUAGUAUUUGUCUAUUUUUGAUAAGACUUAUCAUAGUAAAAAGCUGUUGGCAUUUUAACAUAUUGCCCAGAUUAUGACCAAAGUGCAUGUACAUUCACAUUUUCUAGCUCUUUCACUGAUUUGUAACAAAAGUUGCCCGUGUCCGUAGUUAUAAAUACUGUUUUGUAAGUAACUGCUAUUGGUGUCCUAAAUGAUGCAAAUAAUACAGUAAUCACUGCAGAUUAUAAAACACACAUAUCACAAUAUGAGGUGAACACUCUUGGUUAUGUGCAGUGUCAACUUAUAAUAAAGUGACAGUGUUGUUUUUUAUUAAAUA